CAGAGACAGCUUCCUAUCUAUAUUACCACAAAACAUUCCAAGUGGCAAGCUACAUAACUUCUUGAUAAAACCUGGAGCGAGCUACAUGUACAGAGCACCAUACGAUUAUGGGUCAAUCAUGCACUAUCCUGAAUGGGCUUUUGCAAAGUCACGGGGGUUGAAAACGAUUGUCGCAAAACGAAGAGAUUACACACGGACAAUGGGGCAAAGAAUUGGUUUAUCAUUUAAUGACAUCAAAGCUAUCAACUACCACUAUUGUCAAGGAAAAUGCUCUGGAGGAUUAACAUGGUCCAAGUGUCAGAAUGGUGGUUAUAGGAAUCCAAGGAAUUGUAAAAGCUGCAAGUGCCCGGAUGGUUG